rnacentral:rRNA from 1 species
GGACGAACGCUGGCGGCGUGCUUAACACAUGCAAGUCGAACGCUGAAGCUCAGCUUUUGUUGGGUGGAUGAGUGGCGAACGGGUGAGUAACACGUGAGUAACCUGCCUCCUUCUUUGGGAUAACGCCCGGAAACGGGUGCUAAUACUGGAUAUUCACUGGUCUUCGCAUGGGGGUUGGUGGAAAGGGUUUUUCUGGUGGGGAUGGGCUCGCGGCCUAUCAGCUUGUUGGUGGGGUGAUGGCCUACCAAGGCUUUGACGGGUAGCCGGCCUGAGAGGGUGACCGGUCACAUUGGGACUGAGAUACGGCCCAGACUCCUACGGGAGGCAGCAGUGGGGAAUAUUGCACAAUGGGCGCAAGCCUGAUGCAGCGACGCCGCGUGAGGGAUGGAGGCCUUCGGGUUGUGAACCUCUUUCGCUCAUGGUCAAGCCGCAACAAUGGUUGUGGUGAGGGUAGUGGGUAAAGAAGCGCCGGCUAACUACGUG